GUAGAUCUUGAAGAGUUUACCACAAGAAAUGAGCAAAUGAAUCAAGGAAAAGGUGUUCCAUUGUUGCCAAAAAAUGGUCAUACUCUCUAAUCUGCAUAGUUUCCUCAACACAUCACUUUCCAUAUUUAUUCAAACUUGUUACAGAUCAGCAACUUGCGCUAUGAAAUCCAACAAGAAAGAACAAAUCUUUUGCAGAAACAGAGAGUCCCUUUUGCUUUUUCAGAAGUCAAUAUUUAGUUUUUUUUGAAACUUAAAAUGUUAAGAAGUCAAUAUUUAGUUGGAAACAAAUAUUCACUGAAAAUCUUAUUCCCCAGCAAACUUUGGUCAAUAGACUGUUAUGUUAAACCAAGUUGUUUAUAUCCUCCCUAGGUUCAGAUUAGAGUCAACCAUGCAGUCAUAACCUGGUCAUGUAUGCCCUCCUUCUCUCACUUCAAGACUCCUAAAUGCCUGUUUCCCUAACCAUGGUCAUAUCUCAGACAGAGGAACUAACUGCUUAAAACCAGAACUGAUAAUCAGUCAAGCUAGGUUAAACAAAGAGCAGUAGUGCACACACAUGAUUUUGUAGAUGCUGGCUUCUCUUGAACGACCAAAAUAAGUGGUUAAAUAAACAAUAUGAACAUUGUAAUGUUUCAUGCAAAUGGAAAUGAGAUGACAAAAUCAGCAGUUAAGGAUUGGUACACAAACUUGUUAAACAUCAAGAAUGGUAUUCCUCCGAAGGACUAGUUCUUACAACACAGAAACAGCCUGAUUACCAAACAAUGACCUGUUCUUCCGCAUGUACAAAAGCAUAAGAAAGAGUGGUAACAUCCUGUUAAACAACAAUUCAGUACUGAAUUAGGCAUGAAACUUAUUUCCAACUGAUACUGCAUUUACAUAAUUGCAGAGCAUGUUAAACAUCUAUCUAUCUUAGACAGGAAACAUUGAUGUCAAAUAAACAUUUCAUUUUCAUUUUCAGAGAUAAGGCUAUCUAUCACCGAGUUCAUAUAAGCCAAUCUCAAAGCCUACAUAGAAGAUGCCACACUUGCUACAGCCUACAGAUAGCAAUAACAAUUUGUGAAGCAUAAAAAAUUGAAACUAUGAGGGAAGUAAACAAGAGCAAGAAACCAAUUGUAAGAGAUAUUAAUAAAAUUGGUUAAGGGUAAUAUAGUCUCCCCAACUACAUAGAUCCAAGUCGAAAUGAAACUAUUGCGACUAGGAGGAUGAGAAGCUGAAAGACUUGUCUUAUCUAAAUACUGAAAGUUUUAAAACAUAAACAUAGCGCAUUUUUGGAAGCUCAAAACUCAAUUAAGCAUUUCUACUUAUCACCUUUAACGGGAUCAUCAGAUAUCUUAAGGCCAGAUUGAUGGGUACGCCGUCGAGUCCUGGAGGGAAUAAUGUUACCCAAAUCGACUUCGGCCAGUAGAUCCUCGGAGAGGUCAGUAUCAGUCUCAACAUCAGAAUCGCUCCCAAAAUCACUAGAAUCAUCAUCGUCAGAGUCCUCAAUCAACUUUCCCUUCCCCUUGUCAUCCCUUAAAAUCCCUUUUCCCUUACGAUCGACUUCCGCCUCUCCAUUGGACUGCUCAUCUUCUUCAUCAUCACCUUCAUAGUCAUCUUCAUCAUCUUCUUCUUCGUCCUCUUCAACUUUUUUCUCCUGGGCGGCGAGUGAAGAAUCAGUAAUAGAGAGUUUUUGCUUCUUGUUUACAUCGUCUUCGUGAGAUUUGGCAAUGGCUUCUUCUGCUUGGGGCUUUCUUUUUAGGGGGAAUGUAUGUUCUUCUUCGUCUUGUCCCGCUUCUGCCAUUUUGUUUUCAGAGGAACACCCCAAACUAGGGUUUUGCGCAGAGCCGGAAACUCCACCCUUUCAACUGCCCUUCCGCCUCCUUUGAGAAAAGGCUCAAAAUAGUCCUCAUGUUUGAGUUAAAACUCAAAAUCAUCCUUAAGUUUUCACAUGGAGCAUUAAUAGUCCCUCAUGUUUGUAAUAUUGGUACACUUUUGAUCCUCCUUCAAAAUUUUGCCUAUUUUUAACAUUAAUUUUUUUCAUAAUUUAUGUAUGGAAUGUUUAAUUAUCAUUUUAUAUAUUUAGUAAAAAUAAUAACUCCAUGUAAGAGAUUGUGAGAAGAAAAACAUUUUGUUUUGUUUAGUAGAAAUCAUAUUGCAGGUACAGUCGAGAGGUUCAUCACGACGAUUUUACGUGUAAUUGCAAUAUCAUAUGUUAAAAUAUUCUUAGUUUAGCUGCAGUAAUAUUUAUACUGAACAGAACAAAAUGUUCUUCUUCUCACCUUCUCUCAAAUAUAGUUAUUAUUUCUAUUAAAUAUAUAAAAAGACGAUGUGACAUUCCUUACAUAAAAUUAUGAACAAAAUUAAUGUUAAAAAAUAGACAAAAGUCUAGGGGAGGACCAAAAGUGUACCAAUAUUGCAAAAUGAAGGACUAUUAGUGUUUCAUGUGAAAACUCAAGGAUGACUUUGAGUCUUAACCCAAAGAUGAGAGACUAUUUUGGGCCUUCUCUCGCCUCCCUUUCAACAAUUUUCUUUUCUCUUUUCUCUUUUCUUCUUAUAAAUAAAUAAAAGCUAUUACUCUACUAUUAUUCUAAAAUAAAGGAAACUAUUAUUUAAAAGGAUUCUGAAAGCUUUGUUUUAAUGUAUGUACUUAAAUCAAAGUGCAUGACACAUUAUGAAUAAUAUUUGAAAAUCAAUAUUUAGCCAUAAAAAUACUAAAAUCAACUCAAUUUAUAUUUCAAAUUUAGAAAAUAGAUUAUAAGUUAUUUUCAAGUUGUAUUUAACUACAUUCUACUUUAUUCCAAAUAUUUUUGCAAAAAAAAUUACAUAUAUAACCACGUCUUCACUUUCAACUCAAUAAAUUUCAAAUAAGUGAAAAAUAUCUUAAAUCUUAAUUGCUUUUUUUGGAGCUCUUUGUAUUUGAACUUAAAUAGUAAGACAAAAAAUGUGGAUCAUGAUUUUCUCACACGAAUUUGAAUUUGACCAAAUCCAAUAAAAAUAUUUGACACCACCAACACUAACAUCGUACCUAAUAAAAUCACGAAUUUUGAGGAGAAUAGAGUGUGCAUAGCCAUAGACUAAUACAUACCUCGCAUAGGUAAAUAAAUUAUUUCCAAGAAAUUUUCGACUCAAAUACAAUGAAUAAAUAGAAAAAUGCUACUUAAAAAACAUACAACUAGUAAGUUAAAUAAGGUGAGGAAUCACCUACUAUAAAAUAAGGUGAGGGAUCGCCCCCACCGAGAGCCCAACCUUUAAAAGUAGGGCCUGAAAUAUAUAAACCAAUUGGACCGAUUAACAAACAAAUUAGAAACUAAUAAUUUACUCUUUACACUAUGUAAUUUAUGUGAGUUAUACAUAAUUAAAAGAAGUACUUCGAUUAGAAAUAUAAAUGAAUGGAUCAUCGAUGAAAUGACAUUUUUUAAAGGGAGCAAAGAACAGAUUUUGCUCUCUUUUACAAUUAAAAAAAUAAGGGUUCAAUUCAGACCAAUAAUAAUUUUAUCUAAGUAAAAUUUUGACUCACAAAUCAUACUUAUUAAUAAUAUAAUAAUAAACAAGACGACUACUAUGGUACGUUACUAUAAACAACAAUAUUAAUUCUUAACACUUGAAUUUGCUUAAUACAAGAACCAUAAUCCAACCUAACUUAAGACUAAAACCCCUAUCCUAUGAGAGCCCUCCAUUUGAUUAGCAUACUCCCCUGUGAUUUCCUCCGUAACUUCAUAUUAAAGCUAACACUGAAUCCAUUUUAAUUGUUUUUUUUGUGUUUAUAUAAUACAUCAAUAUUUUAAUAUAACAGUUUAGAUUUUGAAAGAAAAAAUUGGAUUGCCUUAAAAUCUUUGAGGAAACGAUUUAUUUUGAGAUAACCAUGAAGGUGAAACAAGAUUUAGAUUAAGGGUCUGUUUGGAAAGUUCCCAGGUAAUUGGAAUUGAUGUAAUUACUAUCAGUCUAAUAAUUACACAUGCUAGUAAUUACAUUGACAUGUUUGUUAGCCACAAUGUAAUUACAUAUUUCCUGUUUGGAUGAACAAUUGCAAUCAUAAAAUUAUAUUAAAUUUUAAAAGUAAAAGUUAAUUAUUAAGAAUUAAAAAAAAGUUAUUAGACAAAUAAGAGCCUUUAUAAAUUAUAUUAAAUUGAAUAUUUAAGAUAUAUAUUGUCUUUUAAGAAUACAUUAAUAAGUAUAUGUUCUUAACUAAUAUUAUAAAAUAUAAUAUUUAUAUUUUUCAAUGUAGUAUAUUUUAAUCAAAUUAAUCAUAAAACUAAAAGUACAAAAUUUCUAUGAACGUUAAGAAAUGUAUGUCUGACAAAAAGAUUAAUAUUAUAAAUAUCAUGUCAUAACAUUAUAAAACAUUUGAAGACUAACUUUAUAAAAAAUAGCUUGCAAUGUAAAAUAUCGAGUCAAUACUCUUAAAACAAAUGAAACUGAAAAUGCAACAUAAGUUAAAAAUAAAAAAAUUAACAUAAUACUCUUAUGUCAAAUUUCAACAUAACAUACAUAAAUAUGAUUUAUUUAUUUUUAAAAAAAAAUGUAAGUCCAUAACUUUAUUCAAUAAUAAAUUCUACUUUAAUUUAAAAAUUAGUAUACUAGUAAAAUUAUACUAAUGAAUUUUUUAGAUAAUACAAAAAAUUGCAUGGAAUCAGAUGAAGUAAAAGUUGAAAAUGAGAAGGAAAUGAAAUAUAUAUAAUAUUAAAUAAUUUAGAAAAUAUUAGAAUAAUAAAAAUAAAAAAUAUAUUAAAAUGGAAAAAAUAAAAAUAGAAAUAAAAGGAAGAAAUUAAAAAAAUUGUAGACCCAUGUAAUUACAGGGGGAACCAAACACACAAAAUUCAAAUGAUAUUUUUAUGUCAUGUAAUCAUAACAAUUGAGUAUGAUUUUUUAGAUAAUAAAUGGUUGAUAUUAAUGUGACUGAUAAUGAAUUAGGCAGGAAGAGAGGAGAAAAGGUGGUUAUGUCCAUGUCCGAUGGAAUUAGAAGUUCCAUAAUUCAUAAACUGUGUGAUGGAGUUUAAGUAAUGAAUAAUGAAUGACGGAAACUCCAAAGCUAAAAGAAAAACACCAUUGAUUUGAUAUCAGAGCUUUUUCAACACCUGGCUUGCCUUCCCUCGGAACACUUGCAAAUUGAAGUUUCGACCGUUCACACUUAACAAAGACAAAGUGACAACUCCUUACCCACUAAUAUAUAGUGAAUGAAUGAAUCCAAUUCCCGACUCCCAAUGGAUUGGCUCAUCAACGUUGCACAAAUGUCAGUUGAAUUUGUGCAAUGUAGUCAUAAUUGCACUAUUCUCCCACCCACAUUUCUCAAUAUCACUAAAAGAGAGGAAGAGAGCUUUUUUAUUUUUAUUUUUUACAGAUUGAAGAAGCAAAGCAUUGGUGAUGGCGAUGAUGGAGAUAACCGAGGCGUAUGGAGUGAUGGCAGAUGGAAAUAAUAUUGUUGUAGGGGACAACAACAACAACAGUAUGAUGAAUCCUCCCACUCCCACUCCCACUCCCACUCCCACCAAAAGAAGUCGCAGCCAGAGGCGUAGGCGUUCUUCCCUCAACUUCACUUCCCUGGAUUUUCUCUCACACGUGCCACCACCUCCUCCUCCUUUGCCCGCCGCACGUGUAUGACCCUCUUUCUCUUUUUUCUUUUAUUAAUAUUAAUAAUUUGAUGCUUGAAAUCAUAACAAUUUCUUAAUUUUUGGGGGAAGACUAGAGUUUAAUCUUUUCUUUUUUUGGGGUCCUUAGCUUACUCUAUUUGGUACUUAUAAAAUAAUAAUAAUAAAAGUAGAAAUAAUGUGUAUGUAUCGGAUCGGAUCGGACCCGACCCGACCAUCACCUCACCUGUUAGCUGGAAAGAGCUUAUAUUCUUUACAACAUCCCCCUCUACCUAGUCUAUCUCACACUAACUUUUUUAUGCUUAACUCUGUAAAAAGUAUUGUAAUUAUUCCUAUUUGAGUGUCAUCGAUCUCACAAAGAUCUUAAAGUUACAAGACGUCUUAGCAUAUAUUACUUGUUGUCUUUUGGUUGAAAUACCAUGUCAUCGUGCUGUUCGAGGUUCAUAAUAAGUGAGCCAAAACAACUACAAUAUCCAUUUAUUAUUUGUCAAACAAACGACGAUCCUUUUCUUUUUCCAAUACAAGUAGACAUUGGAUUGGCAUGACUUAUGAGGAAAUUAUAUAUUAAAAAGUCCUGAUCAAAAAUUGAGGAAUGACUUUAUGGGUCGAUUGCAAAGGGCAUAAUACAUAAGCAUACUGGCCUCAAUUGGCAAGUAAGCGCUUCAACUUUGAAAGUGUACGUGCAUCUAGACAUCUCAAUUGACAACUAAACACACCAACUCAUUGUGUCUCAUUGACACUCGACACUCUAGAUGAUCAUUUUGUAAGUUGGAGUGACACAAUGGAGACAAAUUGGAGUGUCUAGAUGUGCAUACUCAAAAUUGGAGUGUUAACUUGCUAGCAAAGGCCAAGUUUGAAUGUAUGUUUAUAUACUGUGCCAUUAUAAAGCAAUAACUAAGUAGACAACACUUGCAAGAAGGCAUAAUUAAACACCCAAUCUAAUCUCCUUGUUGUAUGGAACAUGACACAUAUACCAUGAGUACACUUCAAUUCCGACCUUGCUGUGUAAAUUGCAUCGCUAGAAUGUAGCACAUACCGCUACAAGCGCACCUCAACUCCAACUUGUUCGGAUUAACUAUAUGGUUCUUCUAUAUUGUUCCAUCAUAUCCCAUUUCUUUCCAAUACUUAGUACAAUUUGUAAAACAUGAAUUCUCUUAAACUAGAGAUUGUCUUGAUCUCAUACUUGUCCUUACACUAACAUACAAACUUCAGAGCAAACUAUAAGUAUAAGAAUAAUGUUAUUUCACAUAUUGGACUCAUGAGAGACCAAUAGGCUUAACAAAUGUAAUAGAAACCAACAUAAACUACACAUGUUGGCACUUGUUAAAUUGUAUCAUUAGAUAUGUAUUGGGUAGUGGGUGAAAGAUAUUGACAACUAUGGUGCAAUUAUAAUGCCUAAAGUGGCCGGUGUACUAUCAAUAAUGCACUUACCUCCUCACCAUGACCCAAGAAAAUUCAAAAUCGCAUGAGUAAUGUGUAUUGACAUAUGGACUCAUAUGAUACAUAUAGGAUUUAACAUAAAUAGAAAACAACAUAAACUACUCAUGUUGGGGCUUGUUAAAUUGUAUCAUUAGAUAUGCAUUGUUGGGCGAAAGAUGUUGAUAACUAUAGUGUAGAUAUAAUGGCAAAGGUAGUCGGCUUGAUAUCAAUUAAUGCACUUCUCUAGCUCCAUGCUUUGUGAGUUGUGCCAUUAUUAGUGAAAACUUGAAUAGCAUGAGUGAAGUCAUCUAAGGUCUAAGAUUUAUUUGAAGGAGUGCAAAUAGAGAAAUAUCUUCUAUUAUAUUAUUUUUUUUGGAAAUCCAUAGCUGUCAAUAUAUCAGCCAAAUUAGAAUCUAAAUAUAAUGAGAGGCUAUAAGAACUUUAUUCGGGAAAUAGCUAAGAUGUUAUAGUUGUGUUCUUACAUGAUACUACUUACUACAGGACUGUAAGUCAUAAGUAGCAUCUAUAGAUCUUGCUGCCCACCUAAACGGUAGGUGUGUGACGUUUUUUGUGCACCUAUCCCAAAGAAAGAAGAACGAAUGAUAUGCUUCCCUGCCAAUCAUGGUUUUACCACUUGUUCCUGAUGGAUUGGGCUUAUGGUCAUUUUCUCUGUGCUCAUAGACUUAGUUACCAUGUUAAUUAAGAAAUUAACUUCUAAGGAACAUUGUCUACCAAUCUAAUUCAACUACUUUGCGACCUGACUGAGUUCAUCUGUUGAAUUUGAUUAUAAGAUUUUCUUAGUACUGUGAAGAUCAUUCAAGUAAAAAGGUGUUCCUUAAUGGCAGUUGGAAGUCAGAAAUUUCAUCCACUGACCUGUUGUCACAUCUGUUUGAGGAAUUUGGAAAUAGUUGGAUUCCCAUCAAUGAAUAAGGAAAAAUAUGAAAUACCUAGCUAGCUUAAUUAUAUAUCCGGCCGGCCAGUCCACAAAGGAGCAAAAAACCUAUAUGCAAUAAUUUGUGGGAUAUAGGUAUGAUGCUUUAUAUGUAAAAGACAAUGAAGCUGAAAAUUUAAUCAUUCUAUUGAAGCAAACUAACAUUUUGGUCAUCUAUCCUUGGCAAUGUAGUUCAUUUGAUACCCUCUCUUUCUGGUAAACAAACAAUACAUUACAUUUUCCUCUGGACCAUCUCUUGAGAUCACACAUUAAUAAGUGUUGUUUAUGCUUCAGGUACUUGAACCAACAGGGUUCAGAUUUCUCUUUGACAAGCAGCUCCAGAACAGUGAUGUCAGCUCCCUGAGAAGAAUCGUUGUGCCCAAGGUGAUAUGCAUUUAGAAACAUUUGUUUUUAGUAUACAUUGAAGUAACAUUUCUAUGCUGUGGUUAAUUUCAGAAAGCAGCUGAGCGAUAUCUUCCAGCUCUUGAGAUCAAAGAAGGGUUUCCCAUCACAAUGGAUGACAUGGAUGGUAUCCAUGUUUGGAGUUUCAGAUACAGGUGGGAGGUCGCCUUUUAACUUUCCAAGUUUACUUGACGGAGUGAUGUUUUGUAAGUCAUGUACGUAGAUUCAAGUGUCAAGACCAGAAUAUAAUUUGAUGAAGUUACUCUAUGUUUUAUAGGUACUGGCCAAAUAACAGCAGCCGAAUGUAUGUGCUUGAAAAUACUGGUGAGAUCUCCACAGCUUUCCAAGUAUAUUUACUACUUUGCUAAAAACAGUUGGAUUUGAAACUUGCAUUGAUGGUCAGGUGACUUUGUCCAAACACAUGAAUUGCGCCAAGGAGACUACUUUGCACUCCACUACAAUGAUCAAAAGCAGAUUUAUGUAAGCUUGCUCUUUGGUGUGGCGUAGUUUACUUUGAAGUAGUUUGUCAAAGGCUAUAUAUGGAUAUGUUUUGUGUAUAGGGCAUUGAAGCGAGGAAAGCUGGAAGUGGAGCCGUAUUCCGUGGUUAUGAAGCGGAGGACGUGAUUUUAACUGAUUAUGCACAGGCUGCAGAUGAUGGGAAUGGAGCGAUUAUUAUGAAUGAACCAGAAAUGGAUAUGUCCAGCUUUUACUUCCCUGCAAUGGACAACGAGAUGGGCAUGUCCUUCAUUUAUGAUACCAGCUUCUGGAACGAGCCUGCCUUCGAUUUUGUAGGGGGUCCUAUGACCUAUUACUCAACUAAUGUGUAUCCAAUGCCAAGCUUUGGGUCCAUUGAAGACAGCUUCAGUGUUGAUGAUUUCUACUGAAGACAUACUACUAAUCCCAUGCUGCCUUGUAAUCUAAUGCAUACUCUUACCAGUAGCGUUUUGAAGCAAAAAGCUGAUACUCCAGCUACUAGCACAAGAAACUUUACUAGUAAGUUAAGGUUUCUGUUUUGACUCUCUACUUUCUUAGGUUGGCUUUUGUUAGUUUGGUCAAAAACUCUUUACUAAUAAGCUGGUGGAGACUUUAGAAAAGGAAAAAUAUGAAAUAAAAAAAAGGCGCUUACUUCAUUUAGCACUAAAAUGUGUUUGAUGUUUGUCUCGUCUAAUUAAAUUUUUUUACUCAAAUGGCAGGCACCCAAUUAUUUUUACAAGUUACUCAUGUCUUGUAGUUUUUUGUCACUCGAGCUUUUUUGUCUUAGAGAGGAGUUUUUUCAUAAUUUUGUUUUGUUUGGUUCAAGGUAGGAAAAUUCUAUCAAUAAGUUAUUGUGGCGAACUAGUUUUCUACAUCUCACAGCUCAUUUUCUGUUCUAUGUGCUAGCAGCUAACAAGAUUCUUUAAGUUGAUUAUAAUUGUUCAUUUUUUUCCUUUUGGUGCAAGUAAAUAUUGCUUCAAAAACUGAUUACGCUAUUCAGACGGGGAAUAGCACAAGAAAUGACAAUAAGAACCUACAGAUUAGGUGCAGGAUAAAACGAUAACAGGGAUAGGGUGGGUAUAAGGAUCCCUGCCUGCCAGAGUCGCAAAACAAACUCAUAUAACAGUGGGAAUUAGAGAAGGGAUUAACCAAAAUCAUUCUUCAGCUGUGGCUCCGGAAAGUUUUUUUUAAAAAACAUAUUUUGGUACAUUGGACAGUUAAAAUGGACAGAGCAAACAUAUAGCCUCAAAUAUACUUGUUAUUCCCAUCUCGAAUGGGAAAAGCUUAGCAUCAAAUUGAUUUUGUAUCUAUUCUAACAAAAAAGACAUCCGCAAUGCUUAAGUUUUAGGGGAACUCCCCCUCUCCAAAAUCUCAAAAUCAGAGAAAUAUAAAAUUGUAAAGAUUGUUGAGCGAAAGAACACUCUCCAGCUUACUACGAAAGAGCACUAAAGAAACAUCUGCAAUCUAUGUUUAUUGUUUAAUCUGGAGGAAGUCUUCUCUUUACUACUUUUAAACUUAGUGAAGAAUUAAUUUGUUCUCAAUCCUAC
rnacentral:lncRNA from 1 species